rnacentral:rRNA from 1 species
UACGGAGGGUGCGAGCGUUGUCCGGAAUCAUUGGGCGUAAAGCGCGCGUAGGUGGUCAUGUAAGUCCGCUGUGAAAGUCAAAGGCUCAACCUUUGAAAGCCGGUGGAUACUGCAUGACUAGAGUACGGAAGAGGCGAGUGGAAUUCCUGGUGUAGCGGUGGAAUGCGCAGAUAUCAGGAGGAACACCAAUAGCGAAGGCAGCUCGCUGGGACGUUACUGACACUGAGGCGCGAAAGCGUGGGGAGCGAACAGG